CCUACGGGAGGCAGCAGUGGGGAAUAUUGCACAAUGGGCGAAAGCCUGAUGCAGCAACGCCGCGUGAGCGAUGAAGGCCUUCGGGUCGUAAAGCUCUGUCCUCAAGGAAGAUAAUGACGGUACUUGAGGAUUCCUCCCCGGCUAACUACGUGCCAGCAGCCGCGGUAAUACGUAGGGGGCUAGCGUUAUCCGGAAUUACUGGGCGUAAAGGGUGCGUAGUUGGUUUCUUAAGUCAGAGGUGAAAGGCUACGGCUCAACCGUAGUAAGCCUUUGAAACUGGGAAACUUGAGUGCAGGAGAGGAGAGUGGAAUUCCUAGGGUAGCGGUGAAAUGCGUAGAUAUUAGGAGGAACACCAGUUGCGAAGGCGGCUCGCUGGACUGUAACUGACACUGAGGCACGAAAGCGUGGGGAGCAAACAGGAUUAGAGACCCCGGUAGUC
rnacentral:rRNA from 1 species